AUGCAAAUAUGCACCCUCCCGGAUAGCCCGCAGCCAAUAGGCAGAAAACUGCUGCAAAGUUUCUUAAGUGGUGGCAGCCUCGAGAAAUCUGCCCUCACCAGCCGCGACUGCGUCUAUAGCUUCUUUCUGUGGCUGCCCCUUUCCCCAGUCACAUGGACCGAUGGCCGAGCACCUGUUUGCAAUAUCAACCCCCCACCUCCCCCCGCCCCCUCCGUCCCCUCCCACCCCCCUUCUUUCCCUGCACCAUCCCCAGAGGGGAUGGAAAAUGCUGGCAAGUUCUGCAAACCCCAUUUUGCUCGGAGAUCCUGUGGCAUUAUGGGACUCAAUACAAUCAAUAUGAUGUCAUCCAUAAACAAUAGCACCUGGAUCAUCCCUCCUCCCAUCACUUCUUCCACUUGGACUUUGCAUAGGACUUCUUCCAUGAUGAAGAUGAAUAUCUGUUCAAAAACCUCAUCUCAACUUCCUGGUAAACAUGGCAGCAGUGUAGACCCAGGACUCUUCCUCUCCUCAUUGCCUACCAAUAAAUACUACCUCAAAAGGCCAAAAAAACCCAACCCAAAUUCAUAUGAAUGAAGGGACUCAAUAGUGGGGUGCAACAUUGAAGGUAUGUGGAAUUUGAGCAUUUCCACACUAUAAGGGGGUGAAAUAGUUUCCACCAAAGGCCGAGCUGAUCAGCCUUCCCCCACCCUACAUACAAUAUGCUAGAGUCAGAGCCAAUGUGCUAGAAUCAGUGAGUGAGCGAAGGGCACCUCUGAAGUGAGCGAGGGGAACAUGUAGGUCCUUAGCAGCUGACUGAGACCACCGAGGACAUACCUCUAAGAGCAGCUAGACUUGAGACCCCAACAGGCAGAAGAGCACAGACCUUGGGUAUAGAGAUAGUGCAGACAAGGAUGGCAAACAGUAGAAGCUCCAGAAACUGGAGAUGUGGCCUCAGGCAAAAACUGUGCUCGUUACCUCCAUACACAGAGAGCCUGCCCUCUUCACUCAGACUUCUGACUGGAAAGGAAAGGAAAAACCAGCAUAGUGAUGGCAAAUAAUGCCCAGUAAAAACAACCUCACAACACUAAGAGGAACAAGAAGGAGGGAUCGACCCUGGAUAAUUUUUAUGGUGGAAAAAUCCAGACUACAGAGGAAAUAGCAGAAGUGGAUGAGCAGAUAAAUGCAUUUAAACCUUCCCCAAAAGUGGAAAUUGGCCACAAGAUCUUGAAGAAUUUAAAUCAGAGCUUAUGAGAAAGAUGUAUGAAUUGUGGCAAGAAAAGUGGGAAAUAGUUAAAAAAGAAAAUAACAGUUUAAAAAGACAGGAAUUCCAAACUAGAGACCAAAAUUAAACAGCUGGAAGCCAUGAAAAGCAGGGUAGGCCAAACCAAAAAGAAAAAUCAAAAAAUUAUAGAGGAAAAUCAAAAGAUUAUAGCAUAAAAGCAGUCUUUAAAGACCAGAAUUGGGCAAUUGGAAGCCAAUGAUCUUGUAAAAUAGCAAGAAUUAAUAAAGCAAAGUCAAAAUAUUGACA
rnacentral:lncRNA from 1 species